AAUCCGGUUGAUCCUGCCGGACCUGACUGCUAUCGGAUUGGUACUAAGCCAUGCGAGUCAUUGUAGCAAUACAAGGCGGACGGCUCAGUAACACGUAGUCAACCUAACUCGUGGACGUGGAUAACCUCGGGAAACUGAGAAUAAACCACGAUAGAUCAUAGUGCCUGGAAUGGCUUAUGGUCCAAACAGUUUACUGCCAUGGGAUGGGACUGCGGCCUAUCAGCUUGUUGGUGAGGUAAUGGCCCACCAAGGCGAUUACAGGUACGGGCUCUGAGAGGAGAAGCCCGGAGAUGGGUACUGAGACACGGACCCAGGCCCUAUGGGGCGCAGCAGGCGAGAAACCUUAGCAAUGUGCGAAAGCACGACUGGGUCAGUCCGAGUGAUUCCUGAUAAAGGAGUCUUUUGCUUGUCCUAAAAGCACAGGUGAAUAAGGGGUGGGCAAGUCUGGUGUCAGCCGCCGCGGUAAUACCAGCACCUCGAGUGGUCAGGACGUUUAUUGGGCCUAAAGCAUCCGUAGCCGGCUUUGCAAGUCUUCGGUUAAAUCCACCUGCUCAACAGAUGGGCCGCUGGAGAUACUACAGAGCUAGGGAGUGGGAGAGGCAGACGGUAUUCAGUGGGUAGGGGUAAAAUCCUCUGAUCCAUUGAGGACCACCAGUGGCGAAGGCGGUCUGCCAGAACACGUUCGACGGUGAGGGAUGAAAGCUGGGGGAGCAAACCGGAUUA
rnacentral:rRNA from 1 species